rnacentral:tRNA from 2 species
GGAGAGGUGCUGGAGUGGUUGAACAGGCUGGUCUUGAAAACCAGUAUGCCAGCAAUGGCAUCGUGAGUUCGAAUCUCACCCUCUCCGCAA